AGUUGCUGUGUAAUUUGUCUUGCAAGUCCUGGUGUUCAGAGGAAGCUAUCUUCACAGUCACGGCAUUUUUCCUCACCUCAGUACAAAAUCUUGGCUUGUUCUUGAACAGGUGAAGAUCUUGGAUGAUUACUUACUGCUUGAGCCCAUAGGGUGAUAUCUAAGAACAAAGGCAGCAGUUUUAGGUGAAACAACCUGCCUCUUGCAAGUGCUGGCCUGCCUGAAAACCAGAUCUAGUUCAAGGACUCCCAAACUGUACCAUUUCCAGGAGUUAAAAAAAAAUGAUUACCAAACAUCCCUGGGAGAAUUUUGAAACAUGAACGUUUGUAAAAGAAAGAGGGAAUGGGUGAGGCAAACCUACUGACUGGAAGAUUAAAGAAAAAAAAACAGGUCAUGCAUUGGCUUGGUUGUCCCAUUUGACAUGCACUGUAACACAAGGGGAAUGGUUAAGUUCAAGUUGGAACAAAUUUCCUCUGGAACACCGCCCUUCAGGAGGGAGAUGAGCUGCCACCUGCUCAGCCCCCGCAAUGGCGCUGCCUCGCAGACAGCAGUUGGCAUGCUGAGGCCUGGCACUCUCCUCACACACAUGGAGGUAGUAGCACACAUCAGAAGUGAAGCGACAAGUGUGCUCUUGCCAGCAGCAGCCUGCUGAGAAGUGAAAUCCCAGAAGACCGCACCACAAGGCCCUUGGAACUUUUGCCUUCCUCAGCCCACAGAGCCAGCAAGUUACUGUCAGACCAAGGGUGUGCUCCAGAUGCUUCCUGGUGGAGACCAUCUGCUGCAGACCCUGACAUGAACACAGCUUUCAUCAGGGAGCUGUCAUUUUGGAAGAAGGACCCAAUAGAGGUGUUAUUUCUUCAUGCUGUGCAUAAAGACCUGGCCUGUACUCUGCCCAUGGGGACAUGACGACAUACAACACACAGUCUCUUCCUGUGAGUGCAGGAGGAACAAAUUGGAAGCAAUUUUGCAGCUCCAAAGCUUUGGGAUCCAGCUCUAAGUCUUGCACUGGUUGUUGGACUUGGCUAGCACUGUGUGAUACACAGCGGUUUGUUUGCAGAGAUUUUACCCUUCUCCUGGUUUUCCUCUACUGCUGCAUUCCUUUUUUUUUUUAACCACAUCCAGAGCUCAGUAUGGGAGAAAACAUGAAUAUAACACAGAACAAACCUCAGUGCUUCAAACAGAGUUAUCUGAAAGCAUCCCAGCAAGUGCAAAAAUCAAAGCUUCUAAAGAAAAAAAAAAUCAAAUUUGUCUAAAAAGUGACUCUCUCCUCUAUGGAAGGUUUCUAAGCUUCAGAAUCCUUUUCAUGAGCUCCCUAAUUUAGAAUUGGUGAAACACAUGAUGUUAUCUAUGUUUCAGUGUUUUGAAGUUUCAUCCUAAAAAAAAAAUUGGGAAAUGUUUUGAAAAAAGCUUUACCAUACAUUGCUAGUUUACAUUAGAAUUGCUAUCAAUGUGUAGAGACUGUACAUAAGUAAGUAGAUCUAAGGUACUCAUUAAAAUAUUUUCAGUAAAAAUGGCACAAGAUUUAUGCACUCCAAGAUGUUCUAAAAAUCAAAUUUUAAAUUUUUAAAUAGUUUAUGUUCUAAGCCUCUAAACUGCUUUUACUAAAAGAAAAUCUUUAAAAUUAAUCUUUCCUCAGAAGUUUUGAAAAUUUAUAUUAAGAUUUUCAAAAGCCCUAAUUUUCCUUUAAAAAAAAAAAGUAGUAAUACUUCUGUUAGUUAACUAUCCCAUCACGCAACAGCUCUGAAUCUAAUUAAAAUAGGUCCAAGACACUAAGUUUAUUCCUGGAGCUGGAUUCUUCCAGAGCUCAGUUUUCCUUCCAUAGCCAUGCAUAUUUUCCUGAUCACCAAAGUAGGUGCAGAGAUCUGCAGUUCACCAAAAAAAUACACAUCUUGAUCCUGAAGAUCAUGAACUGUUCCAUCUUACAACUAUUUUUAUUGAUUUAAAGCAUGUUUUCACACUGCCUCUCCUCCCAGGCAUGUUUAAACAAGCAGCAAUGUGCAGUGCCAGAACUCAACAGAAACAUGUUCUGUAGACAAGUAAACAAAAUACCCGAUGGCGUUAGCUACCCACACCACGAAGAGAUUUUGAGCAAGUCACUUCAAAUUAUGUUUCGGUCUCUGGACACAAAGCAGAGUUGGUUUAGAGUUCUUCGGCUGUGUUUUGGGUUGUGUUUUUUUAUUGUUUUGUUUUUUAAGCCAUCGGCUGGCCCCAGAGAUGUGGUCUAUUCAUUCUGUUCCAGCUUAACGACUCAGACUGUACUUGAUUUCAGUAAGAACUGCAUGGCAUGUAAUGUGGUUAUAAUUUAGCCUGAAAACAGAGGGACUCAUCUCUACAGGCGUGGCUUAUGUGCCCUGUGACUGCAAGCUAGAACAGCCAGCCAUAUGAACAACCAGUCUGGGCAGACUGGUUUUGAUAGGCCUUAACUAACCACACCACUGGUCGGAGAUCUGUGUUGGAGCAGGGGAAGUGGGAAUCACAGCCCUAGGGAUGACGAUCGGUUCAGUCACACUGCAGGCAGGUUAAAAAAGAAAACUCAGAAAGAAAAACAGCAGCUUUCCCUGAGAGCCAAGGUUAGUCUUUGCCAUAAAUCUGUUGGCAGUGGCACAGAGUGACAUACCACCACCUCCCGUGCGGAGCUGGGGCCAGCCCGCAGGAAACGGCCGCCUCCACGGCAGGACCGGGCAGCUGGCUCCCGCUGCCAUGUUUAUACAUCCCUGGGACACUCCAGCAGUAAAUUUCCUGUUGUGCGACAGUGCAGGCAGGAGGGAGGAGAGCGACCCUCACGUGGCUCUAGCAGAGAUCCUGGCUUUGUCAGCAAGUGCUGAAAAUACCAGCUAGCUGGCACUGCUGCAGAGCUAUGGCACAGCCUCCCUGCUUUGCCCUUUCCUCCACAAGCACCUUUGACUCAUAUAUUAGCAGAAGGGGCUCCACCGUAACCAUCUGUAAACUCCUGGAAGACUAGAACAUCUUGACCUGGGACCAGCCAUGGCCCCCACCACCAGCAUUUCGCCUUGCUUUCUUUUGGUUUUAGAAUGAUCCUUUCAAAAAUUCUUUUCUUAAAAAUUGGAUGCUGAGUCCUGAAAUGACUCUGUCAGAGUCCACUGUCUUCUGCGUCACCAGCACCCCAGACAGCACGAAGUACACACAGGCCAUAGUUACCUGCAAGGAACAUGACUGCAGCUUUCUCAGCAAUAGCCUGCAAGCUACCUCUUGCAGUACAGUUCUUACAACCCAAGCACAAGAGCUGAUGGGAGACUUCACUGCCCAGCUGACGAACUAGCCCUACUCUAUCGUAACUGUGGUUCUGGGCUCCCCAAGACUGAAUGUCUCAGCUGCUGAAUCAGCUCUAGAUCAAUGAUUGCAAUCUCAGGUCUGCAGUGGAACGUGCUGGCAAGGAAUGAGGUGAAACUAUGACAACCUGUAUCUAGUUCUCCAGCAUAGCUAUUGGCAACACCAUGUUAGGCUGCUGUGGACACAUCCCUACUGCUUCCAUCAAAAUUUUUGCUAGCUGGCACUACCUGUAUUUUGUGUUGAAGAAAACAAGCCUGCUCCAAACCUGGAGGACCUUCUUCCCCUCCGACCCCUUUCAUUCUUUUCUGGGUGAUCCCUUCUCUCUCCUGCAGGAAUAUUUACUGUUUUUACAUCAACUCGCAUCUGACUGCCUUCUGUGAGUGACAGACAGCACAUCCUUCUCAUCUCAUCCCUAUUUCAUGAAACACAACUCUCUUCACUUGAAGCAGACCACAAGUUCAGCACUUAGAGCCUAAGUGCCACACUAGGUGGGAGCAUUAGGAUCUUCUGCUGUGUAAGAUUUUGGCAUCUCCUCACUCCUAUGGUUAACAACUGUUCACAUCAUAAAAUAAAACAUAGA